UUGGCUUCCGGCCUCGACAAAACCUUUUGUAAUCCAACUCACGCCUGUACGCGAAAAACCGAGAGAUUAAUACAACCAGUAGCGUUGGAUCCCUUGGCACGUCGUUCGAUGAAGACCGUUGCAAAAUGCGAUAAGUGGUGUGAUAUGCAAGUCCAAAACUUAUACGUGAACCAUCGAAUUGUUGAACGCACUGCAUCGAUCCUUACCCAGGAACGAUACGCCCCAUUGAGCGUCAUUAUGUCUUCGCGACUCGUUGCCUUUGCGGGCGACCUGUCCGGGUUCGGGAUCCACGGCCCCCAGCGGCCGCGUUUCCUCAGAUGCAUUGGACGCGCCGAUCGAGAGCGACGACCUUGUCAUGAAUGUCGAGGCCCGCCGUCUCCCGUCGCGUGCAAGAUCCUCGGCCCUGCCCUUGGAUCGACCCGGCGCUUGAUGCCUCUCCAACAC
rnacentral:rRNA from 1 species